GAUAUUGUAUUGUUUAUAUAGCCAGAUUAUGCUGUUCACACCCUUACUAUUUCAUAGUGAUGCCAAUGUGACAAUAUUGACAAUCCUGUGGUGGGCAUUCUAGCGUGUGUCAUGGAUUCCUUUCAUGGGACACAUAUCCCAUAAUAGAACUGCUGACUCAUUUGUAUGGGCCUGUUUAAUUUUAUUAGAUAUUGCCAAAUUACUCUCUAAUGUGGUUUUGCAAAUUUACAUUGCCAAUUACUAUGUAUAUGAGUACACACUGUUUAUCAACAUUUUGAAUAUUUGAUGAAUUCACUUUUCAAUUUUGAAAAUCUGGUGGGCACCACAUGCUAUUUUCUGACUACAUUAAUUUUUUCUUUCCUGAUUUCCAGUGAGGCUGAGCAUUUCUCUAAGUUUAUUUCUACUGCUGCUUCUAUGCUUUUUCCAUUACAGUUUUUCUCUUUUGUUCACUGGCAUGCACACUACAUUUAUCCAUUACCUAUGCACAGAAACUUUCUCCUGGUCUAUAUCUUGUAUUUCAAUUUCUAUACACUGUAUUAGGGGAUAUUUAAUAUUAAUAUAGUCAACCUUAUAAGCUAUUCCCUUUGAGGUUUGUUCUAUUUGUGUGUUCUUUAAAAAAUAUCAUCCCCAACUCCAAGCUAUAUCAUUUAUUUUUAAAAAUUGUACAGUAUUGAUUUUUGCAGAGGUCUUUAAUCCAUCUUGCUGCUGUUCGUGAGAAUAUCAUUAAAUGUAUAUGGUCAGAUAGUUUUAAUAUGACUGCUUAUUGAAAAGCCCAUGAUUUCCCUUCUGAUCUUUCCAUUUGAUUAAAAAUAACUUACCUUUAAAAUUAUUUAUAUAUUCACAAAUUUGUGGAGAUACAGUGCCGAGAAUCCCUCUGCGGCUCUUGCUUGCUUUCCCUCCCAUCUCUUUCAUUUUAUCAGUGCAUUUGGGACAAGUGCAGUGUUAAUCUGACAUGAUUAACAACGCUUCAUAGUUGUUUAGAUUUUUCAGGUUUUCCCCAAAGGUGCUCUUCGGUCCAGUCAACCACACUUUGCCUUGGUCUCCCUGGGUACUGAUGGUACUGAUAGCCUUUCUAACUUCCUUUGUUUUUCAUGACCUUGAAAGUCAGGUGGUCUUGUUUGUUUGUUUGUUUGUUUGUUACAUUGUUCCUUCUGGAGUUUUGUUACAUUGUUCAUGUUUAGAUGGAGUGUGAGUUUAGGGAGGAAGGUAACAAAAAAGGUCCAUUCUCAACCCAUCAGUUUAGGAUCAUGUGUUAUGGACUGGGCUUAUUUACCAUUGAUGCUGUUAACUUUGUUCUUUUGGCUAAGGCAGUGUUUGCCAGGUUGUUCCAACAUGUAAUUACUUUGUCCUAUUUGUUAUACCCUAAAUUUUUAUAAUGAGUCAUUAUGUUCAGUUUUCCUAGAGAACUGAGAGCUUCCACUUCACAGAGGUAGUAAGGUCUAUGUAAUUUAUCUAGAAUUCUUCUUUAAGGAUCAUUAUCAUUUUUUUGUUAAUUUACAUUCAUAUAGACUGACGAAUAUUUUAUUCUUCAAAGUAAGAAGCUGCACUUUGGUUUCUUCAUUCACAGUCUUUUGGCUUUGGCUAUUGAGAGCUCCUUUGCUUGGCUCCAAUGUCCUUUUAUUCUCUUUAUUCUUCCUGCAUUUCCUUGCUUUCUGGCACUGUGAGAUCUUUGUUCUUUGCCCCCACCUUAAUAUCAGUGAUUUCAUCAAGGAGCUUUUAUCUAUCUUUACACAUGGUACUAGAUGAGAAGACACAGGUACUGGCUGUGCUUGCUGUUACUCAGGUAUAAGUACUAGUAUUGAUCUUUCUUAGAAAUUAGAGCUAGGGAGUGUCUGUGGGUAUAAUAAUGACUCACAAAAUAUACCUAUAAUUUCUAAAUACACUCAUUUAUGCUGUUAUUAAAGCAACAAUGAAUUCAUACUCUUGUCCCCAACUCCAAUCCUAUACCACAUGCAGGAUGUCGCUUAACAAAAAAUGAAUAAAAAAAUAUGGUGCAUUUACACAGUGGGAUAUAACUCAACUGUUAGAAAAAUGAAAUCAUGGAAUUCACCCGUAAAUGGGUAGAACUAGAGAGAGAAAAAAAAUCUUCCUGAGUGAGGUAACCCAGACCCAGAAAUACAAAUAUGAUAUGCAUUUACUUAUAUGUAGAUAUUGACAGUUAGUCAGUGAUAACCAAUAUAUAAUCCAUAAGACCAGGGAGAUUAGGUAUAGAGUAAGGGACUGGGAGGGACUGAUAGAUCUCAUUAGGAAAGGGAAGUAGAAUAGAUAUGUGUUUUGGGGGAUGCCACUGGACAAUCAGGUGGAGAGAGAAGAUGUGAACGAGAAAAGGAAUAUAGGGAGAGACAGUUAAAAUUCAGGAGCAUUUGAAGGGUAGUAUGGAAACUUAAUAUAGUAGUCCUGAAAUAUAUUCGUAUAUAAAGACAAUCUAAAUGAAAUUCCCAAAUAAUGGGAGAGACAGAGCCACAACUAGACAUUUCUUAACACCAUGAAGCUUCUAAUGCUAGGAAUGGGUUGCAUCUAAUUGAUUUGUUGGCCAAAGGGGUCCCAUGGGAACCCCCAAACAGCCCAAGUUGUUGCCUAGACUAAGGGUUGCUUGCCACAAACUGAGACUAAGACCCCAUUGCUGAAAACAACAACCACACAACUCAUUGAACACAGAGAGGUCAAGCUGGUGCCUACAUAGGGCCUUCACCCCUAUGUUCUAGUGCCUUUGAUACAGGAAAUAAUAUGAAUGCU
rnacentral:lncRNA from 1 species